CAGGUGUCUGUGAUCCAGGGAUCAAUCACCUUGUUUUCAAACACCUUGUUUGAGCUGAACAUUAUGGAUAGGAGGCAACUUCUGGCAUUACUGGUGGUUCUGAGGUUACACCUCUGAGGAUCAGAAAGGGCUGCACCAGUAAUGUGGAUGUGACAGAGUUGUGGACAUCAGGAGCUUCUGCUUGAGGACAUGCUGUUCCUGUGGCAGCAGGUUAGGCUCUUUCCACAGAUGGCAAUGUAUGCUGGCAUCCAGAGGCUGAAAUCUUGGUUCAGACUUCCAGAGACUCUUGAGGCUCCUGAAGAAUGUGCCCUAUUUCUGUCUGGGUUUACUGAGGGUAUAUACAAGUACUGCUCCCUGCAGGGAACGAAGAGAACUAGAAAAAACAUCGAAGAUUGA
rnacentral:lncRNA from 1 species